CCUACGGGUGGCAGCAGUGAGGAAUAUUGGUCAAUGGCCGGAAGGCUGAACCAGCCAAGUCGCGUGAGGGACGACUGCCCUAUGGGUUGUAAACCUCUUUUAUCAGGGAAGAAUAAAUGCUACGUGUAGCCUGAUGCCUGUACCUUAUGAAUAAGCAUCGGCUAACUCCGUGCCAGCAGCCGCGGUAAUACGGAGGAUGCGAGCGUUAUCCGGAUUUAUUGGGUUUAAAGGGUGCGAAGGCGGUUUUUUAAGUUAGUGGUUAAACGUCGGGGCUUCACCUUGAUUUGCCAUUAAUACUGUAGGACUAGAGUGCGGACGAGGUAGGCGGAAUGAGUGAAGUAGCGGUGAAAUGCUUAGAUAUAACUUAGAACCCCGAUAGCGAAGGCAGCUUACCAGUGCGCGACUGACGCUGAAGCACGAGAGCGUGGGUAUCGAACAGGAUUAGAUACCCGAGUAGUC
rnacentral:rRNA from 1 species